CACUAGACCGUGAUAAUGUAACGUAAUCAUAGCCAAUUAAUUGUUGGCCGGUAUGAAUGGCGUCAUCAACGCCCCACUGUCUUAAGAGGACUCUCCAUGAAAUUGAAUUCGUAGUGAAGAUGCUACUCCAUAUUGUAAGACUGAAAAGACCCCAUUGAGCUUUACUAAAGACUUGCAUGGCUCAAAAUAUUGCUUAAAUAAAAAGUUUAGAUAAUGUGGGAUCCGUUUCCGGUUAAUGAACACCACUCUUUUAUUUUAAGAGAGCUAACAUUACAGGGAUAGUGUAAGUUGGAUAGCUUGGUUGGGGCGACCACCUUUUGAAAGGUAGUAGGUGAGCUUAAGGUCGUAGUUAAUAGCCGGUUGCAGGGGCGUCUUAGAGCCAUCCUUAGGGAUGUGGGCUAUAAGCCCGUCAUUUAGGUGUGGAAGGUUGAAGAUCAUUUAAUCAAAGGCUCCCAUGGGGA
rnacentral:rRNA from 1 species